rnacentral:rRNA from 1 species
GACGAACGCUGGCGGCGUGCCUAACACAUGCAAGUCGAACGGAAAGGCCCUGCAUUUGUGGGGUGCUCGAGUGGCGAACGGGUGAGUAACACGUGAGUAAACUGCCCUUGACAUUGGGAUAAAUUCAGGAAACUGGGGCGAAUACCGGAUAGGAGCUCCUGCUGCAUGGGGGGGGUUGGAAAGAUUCGGCGGUUGGGGAGGGAAUAGCGGCUUAUGAGCUGGCUGGUGGGGUAGUGGCUUACCAAGGAUGCGACGGGUAGCCUGCCUGAGAGGGUGGCCAGUCACCCUGGGACUGAGAUACGCCCCAGACUCGUACGGUGCGCAGCGGUGGGGAACAUUACCCAGUGAGCGGCCGUCAGUUGCAACAGAGCCGCGACCGGGAUGACGGCCUUCCGGUUGUAAACAGCUUUCGAAUGAGACGAAGCCUGCGUGACGGUAAUGCGUAAGGAAGCACCGGCUAACUACGUG